rnacentral:rRNA from 1 species
UACAGAGGGGGCAAGCGUUGUUCGGAAUUACUGGGCGUAAAGGCGCGUAGGCGGCCUUCUAAGUCGAACGUGAAAUCCCCGGGCUCAACCCGGGAACUGCGUCCGAUACUGGAAGGCUUGAAUCCGGGAGAGGGAUGCGGAAUUCCAGGUGUAGCGGUGAAAUGCGUAGAUAUCGUUGGAACGCCGAUGGUGAAACAGGUCGCUGGGGUUGUGCUGACGCUGAGACACGAAAGCCAGGGGAGCGAACGGG